GCGACCGUAGUGUAGUGGUAACAUUAGACCCUUCCAAGGUCUCGUCCUGGGUUCGAAUCCCAGCGGUCGCA
rnacentral:tRNA from 1 species